rnacentral:rRNA from 1 species
AUACGGAGGGUCCAAGCGUUAUCCGGAAUCAUUGGGUUUAAAGGGUCCGUAGGCGGACUAUUAAGUCAGAGGUGAAAUCCCACAGCUCAACUGUGGAACUGCCUUUGAUACUGGUAGUCUUGAGUUAUAUGGAAGUAGAUAGAAUGUGUAGUGUAGCGGUGAAAUGCAUAGAUAUUACACAGAAUACCGAUUGCGAAGGCAGUCUACUACGUAUAUACUGACGCUAAGGGACGGAAGCGUGGGGAGCGAACAGGAUUAGAAACCCCGGUAGUCC